rnacentral:rRNA from 1 species
GCUUGCUCCUUUGACGUUAGCGGCGGACGGGUGAGUAACACGUGGGUAACCUACCUAUAAGACUGGAAUAACUCCGGGAAACCGGGGCUAAUGCCGGAUAACAUAUAGAACCGCAUGGUUUUAUAGUGAAAGAUGGUUUUGCUAUCACUUAUAGAUGGACCCGCGCCGUAUUAGCUAGUUGGUAAGGUAAUGGCUUACCAAGGCGACGAUACGUAGCCGACCUGAGAGGGUGAUCGGCCAC